CCUGGGUUAUGUGACUGUGAACA
rnacentral:piRNA from 1 species